GGAGCUCCCACCGGAAGGGUGGGGCAGUGUUGGCUGGGAAAGAAUCUUCCGGAAGUCUGUGUCCUAGAAGUUAUCCCCGCACAAGCCACAGGCGCCUGAGCUGUGCGUGGCGGGAGAGGCAGGGCUGGCAGAGCCCGGGAGGGAGGCAGGCACAGAGCCACUGGGAGUGGGGCGGGGACGGAGCCGGGCUGGCAGGACUUGGGGCCAAGGCGGGACAGGCGAGUGUGACAGCCACAGCCAAGGCCAGGGCGGUGUCCCUGCACCCUGUGUGGGUUUGGGGGUGUCUGGCCGGGGCGGGGUGUGUGCGAAGUGGGUGGAGACAGAAAUCAUGCUGGGGAUGUCCACGCGGGAGCGUAGGAGUCAGUGCAGAAAACGCGUCUCCCUGGUGUCGGCAGCUCCGGCCCCCGGGCUGCUGCGGGAGCAAGUAGACCGGCUCCUUAGCGGCUCAGCGCAGCGGACGCCGAGUCCCAGCGGGGGCGUCCUCCUGCAGUGACUCAGGGGCCCUGGCUCUGUCUGUCCUCGGAUGCUCCCUUCCCAACACUUGGCUUCCAAGGUUGGACUGGAGCUGGGACCUGAUUGAACCCCUCGGUCCUCAGUGCCCAAGCGUAGAAGCCGUGGAGCCGCAUGGCCCUGGUGACUGGGCUGCGUGACCCCUCUGUGGCCCCCUCCUGACCUGAGAAAGUGGUGCAAACAUCCACCGCGUCAUCUGGUCGUUAGGAGCACAGAGCCUGACCCACGAUAGACACCACGGGCAUAAUAAAUGCCGCUUUCUGUUUGCUUCAGCAGGAUGUGGACAAAACCUUUAAAUUUGUUUUUAUGCAUUCAAUGCGUCCAGCUGUUACGACUCUGAAGCAAGUGUGAUUUUCAGUCUUUUGUAGUUGUUAUUCAGGGCAGUCCUGUUGUGCUGGGCUUGACUGAAGCGGCCAACACGGUCAUGUGUGUGUCUCCAGGCAGCAACCUGCAGUGAGCCCAAGAUCAUGGUCCAGGGCUCCUCCUCCCGGCAGGGAGGAACUGUCCUCAGCAUCCUCUGAGCCCCAGGUGUGCAGGGGGCAGGGUCAGGUAGAGAGAGGGGAGGAAGUUAGCUGAGGAACAAUGGCUAUUGGUCAGAUUUCCCUACCCCAACCCUGACACAAGCGCCUCGCACAUCAUUGGCUGAGAUCAGUCUCUCCAUUUUCCUAAUCGAUUCUUCAUGCAAAGCCACAUUUUGGAGAAAAGGAAUGGUUAGAAUCAUGGCAGGAUUGCUGAGGCAGUGAAUUGAAGAGGCUGCGUAGUGCUUGCAACCAGUUACCAUAUUUCCCUGGAGGAAUCACCAGCAACCGACUCUCCCAGGACUUACGAGGUGCUUCCCUUAUCACCAGCCGUCUCAGCACAAGUAGUAGUGGUACCUGAAAAGGGCAGACCCAAAGAGAGGGCUGAUCCAGACGCGAAGAGAGGGCUGAUCCAGACCCGAAGAGAGGGCUGAUCAGACGUGAAGAGAGGGCUGAUCCAGACGCGAAGAGAGGGCUGAUCAGACGUGAAGAGAGGGCUGAUCCAGACGUGAAGAGAGGGCUGAUCCAGACGUGAAGAGAGGGCUGAUCCAGACCCGAAGAGAGGGCUGAUCCAGACCCGAAGAGAGGGCUAUCCAGACGCGAAGAGAGGGCUGAUCCAGACCCGAAGAGAGGGCUGAUCCAGACGUGAAGAGAGGGCUGAUGAGACGCGAAGAGAGGGCUGAUCAGACGCGAAGAGAG
rnacentral:lncRNA from 1 species